AAAAAAAAAAAAGCUCCUCUCUCUCUCAGACCUAACCUAGCCGCCGCUGUACGUGUUCUCCGCCUGAGACCGGUGGCUGGUGGCUUCCACAGCACUGGUGCUGGUCUCCCCCUGUAGUAGUUGCUUUUCUCUUUUUGGUUUUACUGUUUUUCUGCGAUGUGGUGAAAAUCUUGCCUUGCUUCGUCUGGAUUUGGGUGGUGGUUAUGGGUUGUCUUUGGCCGGAGUUGGAGGACGAAGUUGGCUUCCUGCAAACCAUCUUCGCCUGCGACUUUCUUCUUCCUCCCCGGAUCGUUUCAGGCUCGCUGGGUGGGUCUCUCCGACCUUGAUGUGGAGUUGAAUGUUCUCCGAUUGGUUUUUGUGGUUCUCCGAUCUGUGAUUUUCGUCUCUGUUCUUGUCUGAUUGGGAUUCGAUUUUGGUUUGUCGAGUUUUCUGGCUGCGUCCUUUGGAUCUGCGGGCAACGGCCUUCGUCGACAUCUAUCUCACAGGUCGUCCCUCAAUUUACCUUCGGUUAAUUGCUUUGUUGUUGGAGUAUAUUUGGUUGAGAGUAGAAGCCUUAGUUUCAAGUUUAGGGCUGGCAAUAUUGACUUCUAGUUCUGCCUCCUGUUACUUUCUGCCCGGUUAUUGGUGUUUUGAGUUUGUGAAGGUUUCGUUUUGUGGGUUCUUCAUUCGGAUGGUAGUCUCCUGCAAAGGCAUCUACUAGCUCUCUUCCUUAUCCUUUUUUGGAUUUAAGAUUUGAGUUCAAGACGAUGUGGUAGGCUCGGUCUUCAUUCCUUCUCUAGCGUGGCGUAACCAGUUCUUAGGCUGUAGAUGGUUUUGGCUGGGUCUACGAAUGUCCGCGUGUAAGGUUUGUUGGUCCUCUUUGGCGUUUUCCCCUUCGGAUCUCAAGGCUUCUCCUUGUCCUUUCACCUGCUUGUAUUCUCUGGUUUUUGGUGUGGUAGUGAUGGUUAGGAUCUGUGCUCUGAUCUUCUUAUUUGUCUGUGUUCGUUUCUGCUGGGUUUGUGGUUGUGUGAGCUUGGUUUAGUAUCCUUCUCGGGCCUUUCAUAUAAAAGCAAUCUAAUGAUGGGUCCUCUUGUUGCUCCUGUUGGGAACCACUUUCCAGCGCCCAAAAUGUUCUAUGGAAAUGUUCGUCGGAUGCUUUUAGUGAAGAGUUUGCAGUUGUGUUGCUUGAGUCUUAGGUAUUAGUCAUUCCCUAUACUUUAAGGUUUUUCUUCUUUAAUGUCUGCCUUUUUUGGCCUUUGUCUCUGGGGGUUUCUAUGUACCCGCCGGCUUUGUUUUCCGGAAGGAUUUAUUUCCUUGCCGCUAUGUAUUAUCUCCAAGUAUCUUAUCAAUGAAUUAUUCAGACGAAAAAAAAAA
rnacentral:lncRNA from 1 species